UACGUAGGGGGCAAGCGUUGUCCGGAAUCAUUGGGCGUAAAGCGCGUGUAGGCGGCCAGAUAAGUCCGCUGUGAAAUCUCGAGGCUCAACUUCGAGCUGUCGGUGGAAACUGUCUGGCUAGAGUUCGGUAGGGGAGACUGGAAUUCCUGGUGUAGCGGUGAAAUGCGCAGAUAUCAGGAGGAACACCGGUGGCGAAGGCGGGUCUCUGGGCCGAUACUGACGCUGAGGAGCGAAAGCGUGGGGAGCGAACAGG
rnacentral:rRNA from 1 species